rnacentral:rRNA from 1 species
GUCAAUGUCGAAGAGAGCUUGCUGAAUUUCAGACAUUGUAAUUGGGUCCGUGAGUAAUUUACGAUCAGAAUUUGAGAGAAUAGGACCAUUACAAAUGGUAUUUGGAUCGGGAUUAGGAAGGACACAUGGGCUGCCGAGGAGACUUGUAGUAUUGCACAAAUUCCUCGUGGACUUGAUCUAUUGAAUCUGAGAGGAGGCCAUUUUGCUUAGUGAUGGAAGGAAUGAAGUUUCUCUUGUGAUUCUUCUUGACAAUCGCAUGGAAGAAUUUGGAGCACUUAUCACUUUCUAGAAUGUAUUUGCUUUUAGCUUUUUGUUGAUAAAAAUGCUUUUCAGGCGAGGCAAGGAGAGAAGAUUGCUUUCCCAAUUCGAGGAUUUUUCAGCCAAAUCUCUAUUACCGAGAGAAGAGUCCAAAAGGGAUUGGGCAUCCUUCAGCUCGGAUUUUGCGCGAUCAGCUCUAGAGGAGAUAUGAGAGAAAUGCUUGAGGUUUAACUCCUUGAGCAUAGGUUUCAAACGAAGAAGUUUGGCCUUAAGCUAAAACUGAUUGGAGCCUUUCGAAGGGAGGCACCACGAAUGAUUAACAAUUUGAAGGAAAUUUGGGUAUGGGGGCAAAAGACUAAUCAAACUGUCUAGUAGCUGGUUCCCUCCGAAGUUUCCCUCAGGAUAGUUGGAGCCCAUGGGCAAGUUCUAUCAUGUAAAGCCAAUGAUUAGAGGCAUUGGGGGCGCAACGCCCUCGACCAAUUCUCAAACUUUAAAUAGGUAGGCCGGCGCGACUGCUUUGUUGAGCCGCGCCACAGAAUCGAGAGCUCUAAGUGGGCAAUUUUUGGUAAGAAGAACUGGAGAUGCGGGAUGAACCGAAAGCCGGUUUACAGUGCCCAACUGUGCGCUAACCUAGAACCCACAAAGGGUGUUGGUCGAUUAAGACAGCAGGACGGUGGUCAUGGAAGUCGAAAUCCGCUAAGGAGUGUGUAACAACUCACCUGCCAAAUAAACUAGCCCCGAAAAUAGAUGGCGCUGAAGCGCGUGACCUAUACCCAGCCGUCGGGGCAAGUACCAGGCCCCGAUGAGUAAGAGGGCGCGGCGGUAGCUGAAAAACCUAGGGCGCAAGCCCUGGCGGAGCGAUCGUCUGUGCAGACCUUAGUUGUAGUAGCAAAUAUUCAAAUAAGAACUUUGAAGGCCGAAGAGGGGAAAGGUUCCAUGUAAACAGCACUUGCACAUGGGUUAGUUGAUCCUAAGACAAAGGACAAUCAUGUCUGAUAGUGCCCGACACGCGAGCAUCGAAAGGGAAUCGGGUUAAAAUUCCUGAACCAGGACGUGGCGGCUGAUGGUAAUGUUUGGGAGUCCGGAGACAUCAUCGGGGACAUCGGGAAGAGUUAUCUUUUCUUUUUAACAACAUGUCCACCAUUGAAACGGCUCAGCCGGAGGUAGGGUCCAGCGGCUGGAAGAGCACCGCACCUCACGCGGUGUCUGGUACGUCCUUGAUGACCCUUGAAAAUUCGGAGGACCGAGUGCCUCCCACGCCAGGUCGUACUCAUAACCGCAUCAGGUCUCCAAGGUGAACAGCCUCUGGUCAAUGGAACAAUGUAGGCAAGGGAAGUCGGAAAAAUGGAUCUGUAACCUCGGGAAAAGGAUUGGCUUUCAGGGUUGGGCACAGGGUUACCCGUCCCGAAUUCGUCCGUUGUCAAUGGACUGCUCGAGCUGCUCUCCCGGAGAGAGCGAGUUGUAGCGUGCCAGCCGGGGGACGGGCUGGGAACGGCUCUUUCGGGGGCCUUCCCUGGGCAUCGACCAGUCGACUCAGAACUUGUACGGACAAGGGGAAUCUGACUGUUUAAUUAAAAAAAACAUUACGAUGGUCCUUACGGAUGCUCACGCAAUGUGAUUUCUGCCCAAAGCUCUGAAUGUCAAAGUGAAGAAAUUCAACCAAGCGCGGGUAAACGGUGGGAGGAACUAUGACUCUCUUAAGGUAGCCAAAUGCCUCGUCAUCUAAUUAGUUAUGCGCAUGAAUGGAUUAACAAGAUUUCCCGUGUCCCUGUCUACUAUCCAGCGAAACCACAGCCAAGGCAACGGGCUUGGCAGAAUCAGCGGGUAAAGAAGACCCUGUUGAGCUUGACUCUAGUCCGACUCUAUGAAAUGACUUGAGAGGUGUAGGAUAAGUGGGAGCCGGAAAUGGAGAAAGUGAAAUACCACUACUUUUAACGUUUGUUUUACUUAUUCCGUGAAUCGGAAGCGGGGCAACGCCCCUCUUUUUGGACCGAAGGCCCGACUCGGCGAGUUGAUCCGAGCAGAAGACAUAGUCAGGUGGGGAGUUUUGCUGUGGCAACACAUCUGUUAAAAGAUAAUGCAGGUGUCCUAAGAUUAGCUCAACGAGAACAAAAAUCUCAUGUGGAACAAAAGGGUAAAAGCUCGUUGGAUUUUGAUUUCCAGUACGAAUACGAACCAUGAAAGCAUGGCCUAUUGAUCCUUUAGACCUUCAAAAUUUGAAGCUAGAGGUGUCAGAAAAGUUACCACAGGGAUAACUUGCUUGUGGCAGCCAAGCAUUCAUAGCGACGUUGCUUUUUGAUUCUUCGAUGUCGGCUCUUACGAUCAUUGUGAAGCAGAAAUCACCAAGUGUUGGAUUGUUCACCCACCAAUAGGGAACAUGAGUUGGGUUUAGACCGUCGUGAGACAGGUUAGUUUUACCCUACUGAUGGCAGCGUCCCAAUAGUAAUUCAACCUAGUACGAGAAGGAACCGUUGAUUUGCACAAUUGAUCAUCGCGCUUGGUUGAAAAGCCAGUGGCGCUUAGCUACUGUGUGCUGGAUUAUGACUGAACGCCUCUAAGUCAGAAUCCCUCGGGUGGCCGAAUGAAGGGCGUAGUCGGUCAAAGAGGAAGGAAGUGAAAGCUCAUGGGAGGGGAUGGACUUUGAAGAGUUUUGGGUUUAAGAUGGCUGGACAAUUCGAUCGCUUGAGCAAACA